rnacentral:rRNA from 1 species
AAUACAUGCAAGUCGAGGGGCAGCAAGGUUAGCAAUAACUGUUGGCGACCGGCGCACGGGUGCGUAACACGUAUACAAUCUACCUUCAACAGGGGGAUAGCCUUUCGAAAGAGAGAUUAAUACCCCGUAAUAAAUUGAGUGGCACCACUUGAUUUUGAAAGUUCCGACGGUUGAAGAUGAGUAUGCGUCUGAUUAGCUAGUUGGUGAGGUAACGGCUCACCAAGGCGACGAUCAGUAGGGGAUCUGAGAGGACUACCCCCCACACUGGUACUGAGACACGGACCAGACUCCUACGGGAGGCAGCAGUAAGGAAUAUUGGUCAAUGGGGGCAACCCUGAACCAGCCAUGCCGCGUGCAGGAUGACGGCCCUAUGGGUUGUAAACUGCUUUUAUACAAGAGAAAACCCUGGUACGUGUACCAGGUUGAUAGUAUUGUAAGAAUAAGCAUCGGCUAACUUCGUGCCAGCAGCCGCGGUAAGACGAAGGAUGCAAGCGUUAUCCGGAU